GUUUGUUAUUAUCUCUGACUCUGUGAGCAAGUAUUCCACAUGCGCUGUUUAGUUUGUUUGGGAGGCUUCGAGUAACAAUUGAUUAGGGAAGUAGCAUUUGGUUUUGGUUAUAUUUUAAAUUUGGGAAACAUCGGAAUCCAAACCAGCGAAUCAUGAGAUGGUGUAUCUUCCUACAAGGGUAUCAUCUUGACAUAAGACACAUCAAGGGUACCGAAAACGUGAUUGCGGAUGCACUAUCAAGAGUAUAAUGUGUGACUACAAGGUUGUGUCUUCGGUUUUAGUUUUUUUCUCCUACUUGUGUCUUCUCCUAGGUGCCGAGGUGGAUGAGUAUUGGGGGAGAUGAGUGGAUUCUGGAAGAUGCUGUGACAUCAGAGUUAUCUGGGAGUUCUGUAGUGUAGUAAAUAUUUGUGUGUACAUCCCAGUUUAGAUUGGGGGGGGGGGGGGGCUUGUUUUUGUUUUGGGUUGUAAUUCUGAGUGGGGGUACACUUCAGUGUCCUUUGGCAGUCCCGAUUAUGGGAUUGUUAAGGGUGCUGAGUUUAGUGUUUAAAGCCGCCCCGAGCUUGGCAAGCCACUGAAGACUAGAUAGGCUUUAGGUAGUUUGUAUUGUUUAGUUAGGAGGUUGGGAUGUACCCUAUUGGAAUUAUGUUUGUACACAUAUAUAUAUUUUUCGUUUGUGUUGUAUAGGGGUUUAUCUUUUAAGGGGGUGUGUGUGACGUGCCUCUGGGCCUGUAUUAUUAUUAUUAUAAUGAUUGUUGGGGGUGCGGUUUGGAGUAAAUCAUGAUGUGAAACACCUGCAAAGAGUGAAAAAAGAUCUGACUUCAAUGUUUUUUUGGUUACCCCUUUGUUGUCUGUUAUUCUGGGUUGCUGCUUUAUUCAUUAUUUUAUUUAUUACAUAUUUUUAUUUAUUCAUUAUUCGUUUGCUCCAUGUAUUGUUUUAAGUUUGGGUAGUUUGCAGGCCUGUAUUUUUUGGAGUGUAUAUUUUGUGGUAAUUAUGUAUCUUAUUCUUUAUUUGUGGAUUUUCUAAAUGGAAUGUUUUCCGUAGUGGUUAUUUUGAUUAAAUAAAUAUUUUUUAAUUUG